AUGAGUGCCGCUGCACUAUUCUUGUAUGUUCUUCUAUUUUCAAUGGAAGCAUUCAAUCAUAUUUGUUUUUUUCUCUCACAUCAGUUUAUAUACCUCUCCAUGGAUCAUUCAGGUGUAAAAAUAUGGAUUUUCACUUUCGACCUGCAGUAUUUGACGGUCUCUGUGUGGAGGGUUUCAGAACUUUCUCUAGGCGCAGACCUGAAUACUAGCAGUACACGCUUGCAGCUAGCAAAAAAUGCAAGAUGCAGGGUCGUGUUUUCUUUUUCCAAUGCAUGGUAUCUGUUCAGGUGGAUGACUGCUAAUUUAUGUGGGAUAGGAAUGUCUUCAUAUUUGUGGUGGGUACAAGUAAUAUUAAAUUGA
rnacentral:rRNA from 1 species